GGAGAGAUGGCCGAGUGGACGAAGGCGCUCGCCUGGAGAGCGAGUAGACGGGCAACCACCUGUCUCGUGGGUUCGAAUCCCACUCUCUCCG
rnacentral:tRNA from 1 species